rnacentral:ribozyme from 1 species
UUUUUCUUUUUUCUUUCUUAUCACUUUCAUUUUCAUAAACUACAUAUCACACAGAGAGGGCAUGCAAAGGGUAAUCAAGAAAAGAUGAGUGUUGAUUUUUUU